rnacentral:lncRNA from 1 species
CCUGUUCUUUCCUUCUUCUCGGAGGUUCUGGCCCUCUAAGCCCAGUUUCACGGUCCAGGUGUAUCAGGACACCAAAGCAACGUUUCAGGACAUCACGUAUUGGAACCACGACUACAUUCCUUCCCACAACGAUGAACUAUUCCGAGCUUUUCAUUGGCUUAUUGUUGCAAAUGCUGUAAGUCAUUUCAUUUGUUCAUUACUGAUUUGGGGCUUCUUCUUUGUGUUUAGACAAAUAAAUUACAUGCUUCAUUACUAUGGAAGUAGGGUAAUUUGAUUUAUUUAUUAGACAUUUUGGUUAGAAUAAAACUUGUUUUUUUACUACUGUCAGUAUUGUCUUUCUUCAUUAUCCAUUCGGAAAUUAAGGGCAAUUGCUUCUCCACUAUACGUGAGGUGUGCUGCAAAAGUUUAGUUAUCAUUCAAAAUUUUGUCUCCAAUCAUGCACUAUUAAUCUAGAAAUAGAUUAUGAGUGUUAGCCUAAACCUUGUUGAGUUGUAACUUGUGUAAAUGUUGAGGGGAGUGUGCGUCUUGGAUGUCAUUUGUGGAGGUAGCUUAGAUUUGGAAUGUGUUCACCUGAUUAACCACAUCACAUACAUGUCUUGGUAUCUUAAUUUCCAAAAGUUAAAAUUUGUCCUCUCUGCUUAGACACUUAAAUUGUUUGCUUGUUAGGACUUACUAGUUAGGAGGGAGGGAACAAGCUAGGUAGCCCAUGUAUUACCUGCUUGGUCGCUUAUGCAUGGCAGUUCUUGUUGCGUGGAGGAUGCACUGCCAGAAGCAAAGAAUUAUGGCCCUUCUUUAUGCACUGGCUUCAGAUUUCAGCAAAUUCAUUCAAAGUUUUAAUGUAAAAAGGAAAUGUUGAUGGAAACAAAGCGAUUGUAUUUAAAUGAUUCUGAUUUGUGUGUCAAUUAUAGCAUCCACGUCCCAUUCAUUGAAUCUAAUAGUAGCAUAUG